rnacentral:rRNA from 1 species
AGCCUGCCCAGUGACUAAGUUAAACGGCCGCGGUACCCUAACCGUGCAAAGGUAGCGCAAUCACUUGUUCUUUAAAUGAGGACUAGUAUGAACGGCAUCACGAGGGUUAUACUGUCUCCCUAUUCCAAUCAGUGAAACUGAUCUUCCCGUGAAGAAGCGGGAAUAAAUAUAUAAGACGAGAAGACCCCAUGGAGCUUUAAACUCAGUACCACCUGCUAUUUUCAAAUCCUAUUAAUCACUCAGACAUGGUAACUAGUUUUCGGUUGGGGUGACCGCGGAGCAAAACAAAACCUCCACAACGAAAGGAACUAACAACCUAAUCCAAGAGCAACAUCUCUAAGAAUUAAAAAAUUAACUUAAUUGAUCCAAUUACUUGAUCAACGAACCAAGUUACCCUGGGGAUAACAGCGCAAUCCAUUUAAAGAGCUCUUAUCGACAAAUGGGUUUACGACCUCGAUGUUGGAUCAGGGUAUCCCAGUGGCGCAGCAGCUACUAAAGGUUCGUUUGUUCAACGAUUAAA